UACGGGGGGAGCAAGCGUUGUUCGGAUUUACUGGGCGUAAAGGGCGCGUAGGCGGCCACCGCAAGUCGACUGUGAAAUCUCCGGGCUUAACCCGGAAAGGUCAGCCGAUACUGCGGGGCUAGAGUGCAGAAGGGGGCAACUGGAAUUCUCGGUGUAGCGGUGAAAUGCGUAGAUAUCAAGAGGAACACCAAUGGCGAAGGCGAGUCCCUGGACGAUACCUGACACUGAGGCACGAAAGCUAGGGGGAGCAAACAGG
rnacentral:rRNA from 1 species